rnacentral:rRNA from 1 species
CUGAUUGAACGCUGGCGGCAGGCCUAACACAUGCAAGUCGAGCGGUAGCACAGAGAGCUUGCUCUCGGGUGACGAGCGGCGGACGGGUGAGUAAUGUCUGGGAAACUGCCUGAUGGAGGGGGAUAACUACUGGAAACGGUAGCUAAUACCGCAUAACGUCGCAAGACCAAAGUGGGGGACCUUCGGGCCUCAUGCCAUCAGAUGUGCCCAGAUGGGAUUAGCUAGUAGGUGGGGUAACGGCUCACCUAGGCGACGAUCCCUAGCUGGUCUGAGAGGAUGACCAGCCACACUGGAACUGAGACACGGUCCAGACUCCUACGGGAGGCAGCAGUGGGGAAUAUUGCACAAUGGGCGCAAGCCUGAUGCAGCCAUGCCGCGUGUGUGAAGAAGGCCUUCGGGUUGUAAAGCACUUUCAGCGGGGAGGAAGGCGUUAAGGUUAAUAACCUUGGCGAUUGACGUUACCCGCAGAAGAAGCACCGGCUAACUCCGUGCCAGCAGCCGCGGUAAUACGGAGGGUGCAAGCGUUAAUCGGAAUUACUGGGCGUAAAGCGCACGCAGGCGGUCUGUCAAGUCGGAUGUGAAAUCCCCGGGCUCAACCUGGGAACUGCAUUCGAAACUGGCAGGCUAGAGUCUUGUAGAGGGGGGUAGAAUUCCAGGUGUAGCGGUGAAAUGCGUAGAGAUCUGGAGGAAUACCGGUGGCGAAGGCGGCCCCCUGGACAAAGACUGACGCUCAGGUGCGAAAGCGUGGGGGGCAAACAGGAUUAGAUACCCUGGUAGUCCACGCCGUAAACGAUGUCGAUUUGGAGGUUGUGCCCUUGAGGCGUGGCUUCCGGAGCUAACGCGUUAAAUCGACCGCCUGGGGAGUACGGCCGCAAGGUUAAAACUCAAAUGAAUUGACGGGGGCCCGCACAAGCGGUGGAGCAUGUGGUUUAAUUCGAUGCAACGCGAAGAACCUUACCUGGUCUUGACAUCCACAGAACUUUCCAGAGAUGGAUUGGUGCCUUCGGGAACUGUGAGACAGGUGCUGCAUGGCUGUCGUCAGCUCGUGUUGUGAAAUGUUGGGUUAAGUCCCGCAACGAGCGCAACCCUUAUCCUUUGUUGCCAGCGGUCCGGCCGGGAACUCAAAGGAGACUGCCAGUGAUAAACUGGAGGAAGGUGGGGAUGACGUCAAGUCAUCAUGGCCCUUACGACCAGGGCUACACACGUGCUACAAUGGCAUAUACAAAGAGAAGCGACCUCGCGAGAGCAAGCGGACCUCAUAAAGUAUGUCGUAGUCCGGAUUGGAGUCUGCAACUCGACUCCAUGAAGUCGGAAUCGCUAGUAAUCGUAGAUCAGAAUGCUACGGUGAAUACGUUCCCGGGCCUUGUACACACCGCCCGUCACACCAUGGGAGUGGGUUGCAAAAGAAGUAGGUAGCUUAACCUUCGGGAGGGCGCUUACCACUUUGUGA